ACGGGUGAGUAAUGCGUAGGAAUCUGCCCUAGAGUGGGGGAUAACCCGAGGAAACUCGGGCUAAUACCGCAUAUUCUCUGAGGAGAAAAGCCGGGGACCUUAGGGCCUGGCGCUUUAGGAUGAGCCUACGUCGGAUUAGCUAGUUGGUGGGGUAAAGGCCUACCAAGGCGACGAUCCGUAGCUGGUCUGAGAGGAUGAUCAGCCACACUGGGACUGAGACACGGCCCAGACUCCUACGGGAGGCAGCAGUGGGGAAUAUUGGACAAUGGGCGAAAGCCUGAUCCAGCAAUGCCGCGUGUGUGAAGAAGGCCUUCGGGUUGUAAAGCACUUUUAGCGAGGAGGAAAGAUUCAGGGCUAAUACCCCUGAAAGUUGACGUUACUCGCAGAAAAAGCACCGGCAAACUCUGUGCCAGCAGCCGCGGUAAUACAGAGGGUGCGAGCGUUAAUCGGAAUUACUGGGCGUAAAGCGCACGUAGGCGGACACUUAAGUCGAGUGUGAAAUCCCCGGGCUCAACCUGGGAACUGCAUUCGAUACUGUGUGUCUAGAGUAUGAUAGAGGAAAGUGGAAUUCCCGGU
rnacentral:rRNA from 1 species